CGAACGCUGGGCGGCGUGCCUAAUACAUGCAAGUCGAGCGCGGGAAGCCGUCUGAUCCCUUCGGGGGGACGACGGUGGAAUGAGCGGCGGACGGGUGAGUAACACGUGAAGAACCUGCCCAUAGGUCUGGGAUAACCACGAGAAAUCGGGGCUAAUACCGGAUGUGUCAUCGGACCGCAUGGUCCGCUGAUGAAAGGCGCUCCCGCGUCGCCCAUGGAUGGCUUUGCGGUGCAUUAUUUAGUUGGUGGGGUAACGGCCCACCAAGGCGACGAUGAUUAGCCGACCUGAUAGGGUGAUCGGCCACACUGGGACUGAUACACGGCCCACACUCCUACGGGAGGCAGCAGUAGGGAAUCUUCCUCAAUGGAGGAAAGUCUGAUGGAGCAACGCCGCGUGAACAAUGAAGGCUUUCUUCUCAUAAAGUUCUGUUGUUGGGAAAGAACAAGUGCUGCAGGCAAUGUCGACACCUUGACUGUACCUUGCUAAAGAGCCACGGCUAACUACGUGCCAGCAGCCGCCUUAAUACGUAUGUGGCAAGCAUUCUCCGGAAUUAUUGGGCGUAGAGCGCGCGCAGCCUCCCUCUUAUUUCUGAUGUGAAACCCCCCCGCCUCACCGGGGAGGUCAUUGGAUACUGUCAGGCUUGAUUGAGGAAAAACCCUACACUCCACGUGUAGCGUUGAAGUGCGUACAAUGUGGGAGAAACAAC
rnacentral:rRNA from 1 species